UGGGGGAUAUUGCACAAUGGAGGAAACUCUGAUGCAGCAACGCCGCGUGAGGGAAGAAGGUCUUCGGAUUGUAAACCUUAGUAGUCAGGGACGAAAGAAAUGACGGUACCUGAAGAGUAAGCUCCGGCUAACUACGUGCCAGCAGCCGCGGUAAUACGUAGGGAGCGAGCGUUGUCCGGAUUUACUGGGUGUAAAGGGUGCGUAGGCGGGACUGCAAGUCAGACGUGAAAUACCGAGGCUUAACUUCGGGGCUGCGUUUGAAACUGUGGUUCUUGAGUGAAGUAGAGGCAGGCGGAAUUCCUAGUGUAGCGGUGAAAUGCGUAGAUAUUAGGAGGAACACCAGUGGCGAAGGCGGCCUGCUGGGCUUUAACUGACGCUGAAGCACGAAAGCAUGGGGAGCAAACAGGGUUAGAUACCCUGGUAGUCCAUGCCGUAAACGAUGAUAGCUAGGUGUGGGGGGACUGACCCCUUCCGUGCCGCAGCAAACGCAAUAAGCUAUCCACCUGGGGAGUACGACCGCAAGGUUGAAACUCAAAUGAAUUGACGGGGUCAUAGCUGUUUUCCU
rnacentral:rRNA from 1 species